GCAGAUUGAAAGUCAAGAAAAGGAGUCAGAUUUUGAUAAUCAGUCAAGCUCUUCCGACGUAGAAACCAAAGGAUCCCGUAACAGAGGGAAUUAUUUUUAUCAUGAGAACAAGGGUUACGACCCUGACGUCGACGUCGGCUUGGACCCCAGGUACGCAGGAUUCCAAGUGAGGCUCGAUCAUAUCGACCCUACCACAGACUACUCCAUUAGGCGGCCAACCGUGUACAGCCGUCCCUACGGUCCUCACCACAAGGAAAACAAACCAAAAUAUACGUGAAUAUCAUCUGGUUACUACUGACACCUAUCGGUCAUUUUACACGAUAUCAUUGGGGCUAUGGAUGACGGUAGUCUGUUUGAGCAAUACUUGGAAACUUAACUUGAGCAUGUCAGUUUAGGGUCAGCACAAUUAUAAUGGACGUUAUCUUUAAAUUAUCUCUAAUUUAGCUGAUAUAUAUGUGUUUAUAAAACACUAAUAUAAUUUGUUGAUUCAAUAUACAUAUUUGAUUGAAGCUUGAUAUUGAUAUAGAUCUGGAAUUGUUUAAAAAAAAAGCCUGACAGGUCUUUUUGUUUGAAGAAAUUACUGGAGAUCCAAUUUAGGAACGAAUGUUUCAAACAAGUUCACGAAAAUACGAUUGUGACAAUUACCAAAAGGAUUACAAUACGU